GUGUGUGAGGGAGAGGAUGUCGCUACUUUGCAAGUCCGCCCAUAUGGGACUCUUUGUAGCACUAAUACUCUUCUCUUUUGCACUUUUUCGUGUAAACGGAUCAAACCAAACACGGGUUCAACCUAGAGAAAGCCCACGUCGGAGUUGAAAUUGUUGGAGAAUGUUGACUGUUGUGGAGUGGAUUCAUCCUUGCGUGAAGUGUCUGCCACGUCAGCCCUGAAGCUUUACACUAACACGUGGUGACGGCAAACCGCCAGCAGACAUAAUGAGGAGCACCUGUCAGCCUGCAGACUGACAACGUGCUGGGAAAUCCCUGAUCGGCGGCUUUUGAACAACAGAUUCAUCCAAUUUCUUUGAUAAUUUCUUGCUGUUUUUUUUUCCAACAUAUGAGAUUGAGAUUGUAACAAAAGCAAACAUUUAAAGUACAUGUGCAUUCUUAGCCCCGCAUGGGCCUUGACAUAUUCUUGAGAUGUUUUAACCAAAUGUGUUAUUUGUAAAAAGAAAUGUAAAAAAAUAAUAUAUUCUCUAUAUACUCUUUAUUUUAUUUCUGGAUGAAUUAAUUGUGUUUACCUUUUACAUGCGCACGCUAUUUGUCAGAUACACACAUCCAUUUUACACUGCUGUUUUUGAUUAUCAGGAUUUUAAGUCUCUCUAAUCAGUUUUUUAAAAAUCUUCUGAUAAAACAUUUAUAAUUGAAUGCAAAGUAAUUACAGGUCCGUGUUUCUACUGUAUACCGGAACUCAACAAUAAAGCACGACGACUCUACCACAAUUACAAUUUUCACAAAGCUUCUACGUUAUAUGGUUGAGGACGUCAGAAGCAGGAUGAUUCUGCAGCUUUAUGGCGUUCUUGUAGUGUUUAACAGGUGCUGCCAGCAAAAUACCUGCUAAGUGUGUGUACAAAUAUAAAGCCAGUGAAUAAAUAUUGUUUCUAUCA